rnacentral:tRNA from 2 species
AGCUAUAUAAUUUAAUUAUUAAAAUAUAUAAUUGCAGAUUAUAAGAUCUCAGUUAAAUCCUGAGUGUAGCUU